AUUGAACGCUGGCGGCAUGCCUUACACAUGCAAGUCGAACGGCAGCGCGGACUUCGGUCUGGCGGCGAGUGGCGAACGGGUGAGUAAUACAUCGGAACGUACCCUGUUGUGGGGGAUAACUAGUCGAAAGAUUAGCUAAUACCGCAUACAACCUGAGGGUGAAAGUGGGGGACCGGAAACGGCCUCAUGCAGCAGGAGCGGCCGAUGUCUGAUUAGCUAGUUGGUGGGGUAAAGGCCCACCAAGGCGACGAUCAGUAGCUGGUCUGAGAGGACGAUCAGCCACACUGGGACUGAGACACGGCCCAGACUCCUACGGGAGGCAGCAGUGGGGAAUGUUGGACAAUGGGGGCAACCCUGAUCCAGCAAUGCCGCGUGUGUGAAGAAGGCCUUCGGGUUGUAAAGCACUUUUGUCCGGAAAGAAAUCGCGCUGGUUAAUACCUGGCGUGGAUGACGGUACCGGAAGAAUAAGCACCGGCUAACUACGUG
rnacentral:rRNA from 1 species